AUUGAACGCUGGCGGCAUGCUUUACACAUGCAAGUCGAACGGUAACAGGCCGCGAGGUGCUGACGAGUGGCGAACGGGUGAGUAAUGCAUCGGAACGUGCCUAGUCGUGGGGGAUAACGCAGCGAAAGCUGCGCUAAUACCGCAUACGAUCUAUGGAUGAAAGCGGGGGACCGUAAGGCCUCGCGCGAUUGGAGCGGCCGAUGUCAGAUUAGGCAGUUGGUGGGGUAAAGGCUCACCAAGCCAACGAUCUGUAGCUGGUCUGAGAGGACGACCAGCGACACUGGGACUGAGACACGGCCCAGACUCCUACGGGAGGCAGCAGUGGGGAAAUUUGGACAAUGGGCGCAAGCCUGAUCCAGCAAUGCCGCGUGCAGGAAGAAGGCCUUCGGGUUGAAAACUGCUUUUGUACGGAACGAAACGGUCCUGGUUAAUACCUGGGGCUAAUGACGGUACCGUAAGAAUAAGCACCGGCUAACUACGUGCCAGCCGCCGCCGUAAAAC
rnacentral:rRNA from 1 species